rnacentral:pre_miRNA from 1 species
AGGUCUUAAAGGUUGGUGGCCUAGAAAAAUCAACUUGCCAAAGUUAGGCCACCAUUUGUUAAGGCCUAG